CCACCCCCACCCCCCUCCCCGUGUGUGUGUAUGCAGAGAGCUAGAGAAAGCUGGCAGCACUACCUGAAUAGCUACUGAAAGAGUGAGACUUCUCAGCUCCUGCUUCAUUACUGGCUAGCAGCUAUUCCAGUGUGUGCGAGCUCCUAACUGCUUCCUCCCAUCGAAAAGCCCUUGGCUGGAAGGCUUCUCAAGGGAAAGAGGGACAGUCUGGAGAAAACGAGUUUGAAAAGCUGGCCUGGUGUAUGAGGGAAAUGAAAAUGGAGAAAUCUGGGCUUCAGAAGUUCAGUACACCAGAUCCAGUCUGGAAUAUCUUCUCUGACAUCAUCAAAAGACUGUUUUUCAAGCAGUAGAGACAUUGAGAGUUUCCCUUGAUGCCCCAUUG
rnacentral:lncRNA from 1 species